CUUUGGAGUAAACUUAAAACCUAAUGUCAAUGUUCGCAUGUUGUGAAGAUAAACCUAAAUGUAUUUGGAGGGAUGCGUAAAUGUAAAGUCAAACCUAAAUGCCAGCAUUUGGAGGGAUGUGUAAAUGUAAAAUCAAACCUAAAUGCCGGCAUUUGGAGGGAUGUAUAAAUGUAAACCUAAAUGCCGGCAUUUGGAGGGAUGUGUAAAUGUAAACCUAAAUGCCGGCAUUUGGAGGGAUGUGUAAAUGUAAACCUAAAUGCCGGCAUUUGGAAGGAUGUGCAAACGUAAAGUCAAACCUAAAU